GGCCCUCAGGAAGCAGAGCGUCUACGCCAUGGACUUGACCCCUUUCCUUCUCAUGCUGCUCAGUGUCUGCAAAGGGAGCAGUGCUCAGACUGUGGUGACUCAGGAGCCUUCUCUGACAGUGAUCCUAGGAGGGACGGUCACCCUGACCUGCAGCUUCAGCACAGGGGCGGUCACUGCUGGGCACUAUCCCAACUGGGUCCAACAAAAAUCUGGCCAAUCUCCCAGGGGGAUCAUUUCAUACAUUAGUAAUCUUGUACCAGGUGUUCCUGCCCGGUUCUCAGGGUCUAUCUUUGGGGGCAAAGCUGCCCUCGCCAUCAAGGGGGCCCAGGCUGAGGAUGAGGCUCACUAUUACUGUAUCCUGUGGUAUGGCAAUGCUUAG